rnacentral:lncRNA from 1 species
AACUUUCAGUAUUGUGGCCCUGGUUUUUAAUGCUGGGAGGAUAUUUUGUUUUAUUUUUGCACUUUCCCCCUUUGCUCAACUUCCUGGUUUUCAGCAGUGGUCGAGAUAUGCAAGUGACAUUUGGAUAAGUGAGGUGUUAUGAGUUCCAGAAGACUUUCCUAUCAUCUACAGGAGCCCAUUUCUUGAAUCUUCUUUUAAAACAGAUCUACAACUCUCUAGUAUUCUAGAAUAAUUUCAGGAGUGGGUUUUCUUAUGCGGCUGGAACUAAAGUCAGAUUUUAAGUGUUUCUUCUGUAGACAUUUACUUAAAAGAAAAUAUCAUUCUCCAGGCUGGUUGUUUUGUUUGGGUGCCUUGCUGGAAUGGAAUUGUACCCUCUUCAGAACCCUGGGACACCAUCACUCAUUGAUUCCAAUAAACACACUGACUUCCUUUUGGAACCUUUAAAAGUCAGUGACUGCAAGCCAUCAGUACAUAUUCCAGAAUAUCCUGGACUCAACUGUUUUGUGGCUGGUCAUUUGAAGCUAUGGGAAAAAACAGGAAUCUUCUACUGGCUAACAACAUUUAAUAAGUGAGUAGACUUGGGAUUAAAAAAAAAAGCAUCAGAAAAGCAGUAACAGGGGUAAAGAAUUAGAAGAAUGGCAUAUAUAAGAAGAUAGAAGUGCAUGGUGAUGUUAUUCAAGGUGGUGAUCAAAGGUGGUGACUGGUGGUGACUGGCUCAGCAAGCCCCAAGAGUCCUGAAAUGAAAAAAGGAAACUUUACUGAAGCAGCAGGAAAUACAACAGCACUGCAGUAAAGGAAGAUAGCCCUAGACCCUAAACUCUUAUCCCUCAAAGGCCAAAGCUCUGAUCUAACUUCAGUAGCCAUUGCUGAGCUCUUCGUAUGUACCUAGCACAGUCAUUGGCGCUGGAGUACAAAGAUGAAUAGGUCAGUGACCCAAUUCUCAAACUGCUCACAGUUUCUAGAAGCAUUCUUCACUCUGCAUAGGGGUGGAGAAUGCUAGGAGAGGGUGUUGGAACAGAUGGUCCUUCUCACCUUCAGGAAGUAAACACGCUCUUGGCCU